GACAAUAAAGCAAAUCAGCAUCAGCAAAGAUGCCAAAGUCUCAAAUGCCGUCAUGUCAAUAGCUGCUGCUAUUGAGCUCAGGUAAAUGAGGAUGAUCAAUCAAAAGUGAUCAUUGGUCAACUCGGUAACGAUGGUAAGCACGACGUGAUUGCAACUCAGGGCGUCGGAGUUUGGCGUUCAGUUCUGUUGUCCUCUAUUCAAUUAUAGCAGCAAUCUUCCACAAGCUCUGGUCUGGUAUUGUCACCAGUUGUUCUAAGCUACUCUAGUCAUUUAAUAGGGGAAUCUGUAGAUCCUUUUCGCUUUUUGCAGUGUAUACAGGUUCGAAUGAAUUGGAAUUGGCUAUCUCUGACUGAAGUGUCAAUAUAUGAUGGACAUCUUUCAACUCUAACCUCCUAAUUCAGAAUGUAUUGUUCUCCAGCCCUUCAUUAUAUUUUCU